rnacentral:lncRNA from 1 species
UUGGAAAAGUUCGGCCACUGACGAACUGAUGAAGUUUUGGAAGAAAUUCGGAUUGGAGUCGAUCGAAUCCUGUUGGAAAAGAUCUGGAAGAGGUCCGGAGAAUGGUUGACCAUUGUAGAAGGUCGGCCGAUAGUAGAAUCUAGAGAGCACUUGGAGCAGCCUGAUAGACGAUCGAAGAAGUUUAUCGCUGGAGAAGCCCAGGAGAUGCGGUAGGAGUUCAUCCGUCGGGGGAAUUCGGUCGACACUCGUGGAAGAAGCUGUGGGAGUUUAUCCAUCGGUAGAACUUGGAAACAUUGUGGAAGCUCGACCGUUGGAGAGGUUCGGAAAGAUGUCGCCCAAGGUCGGACGUCGGUAGAGUCUCGGGAGGGUCACUCCUGAUACGAACUUCGG